rnacentral:rRNA from 1 species
GGUCGAGAGACCGGCCGCCCAGAUUGGGAUUGAGACACGGCCCAGACUCCUACGGGAGGCAGCAGUGGGGAAUCUUGCGCAAUGGGGGGAACCCUGACGCAGCGACGCCGCAUGCGGGACGGAGGCCUUCGGGUCGUAAACCGCUUUCAGCAGGGAAGAGUCAAGACUGUACCUGCAGAAGAAGCCCCGGCUAACUACGUGCCAGCAGCCGCGGUAAUACGUAAGGGGCGAGCGUUAUCCGGAUUCAUUGGGCGUAAAGCGCGCGUAGGCGGCCCGGCAGGCCGGGGGUCGAAGCGGGGGGCUCAACCCCCCGAAGCCCCCGGAACCUCCGCGGCUUGGGUCCGGUAGGGGAGGGUGGAACACCCGGUGUAGCGGUGGAAUGCGCAGAUAUCGAGUGGAACACCGGUGGCGAAGGCGGCCCUCUGGGCCGAGACCGACGCUGAGGCGCGAAAGCUGGGGGAGCGAACAGGAUUAGAUACCCUGGUAGUCCCAGCCGUAAACGAUGGACGCUAGGUGUGGGGGGACGAUCCCCCCGUGCCGCAGCCAACGCAUUAAGCGUCCCGCCUGGGGAGUACGGCCGCAAGGCUAAAACUCAAAGGAAUUGACGGGGGCCCGUACAAGCAGCGGAGCAUGUGGCUUAAUUCGAAGCAACGCGAAGAACCUUACCAGGGCUUGACAUAUGGGUGAAGCGGGGGAGACCCCGUGGCCGAGAGGAGCCCAUACAGGUGGUGCAUGGCUGUCGUCAGCUCGUGUCGUGAGAUGUUGGGUUAAGUCCCGCAACGAGCGCAACCCCCGCCGCGUGUUGCCAUCGGGUGAUGCCGGGAACCCACGCGGGACCGCCGCCGUCAAGGCGGAGGAGGGCGGGGACGACGUCAAGUCAUCAUGCCCCUUAUGCCCUGGGCUGCACACGUGCUACAAUGGCCGGUACAGAGGGAUGCCACCCCGCGAGGGGGAGCGGAUCCCGGAAAGCCGGCCCCAGUUCGGAUUGGGGGCUGCAACCCGCCCCCAUGAAGUCGGAGUUGCUAGUAAUCGCGGAUCAGCAUGCCGCGGUGAAUGCGUUCCCGGGCCUUGCACA